rnacentral:rRNA from 1 species
GGAAUCUUCCACAAUGGACGAAAGUCUGAUGGAGCAACGCCGCGUGAGUGAAGAAGGUUUUCGGAUCGUAAAACUCUGUUGUUGAAGAAGAACAUGCGUGAGAGUAACUGUUCAUGUAUUGACGGUAUUCAACCAGAAAGCCACGGCUAACUACGUGCCAGCAGCCGCGGUAAUACGUAGGUGGCAAGCGUUGUCCGGAUUUAUUGGGCGUAAAGCGAGCGUAGGCGGUUUAUUAAGUCUGAUGUGAAAGCCCUCGGCUCAACCGAGGAAGUGCAUCGGAAACUGGUAAACUUGAGUGCAGAAGAGGAGAGUGGAACUCCAUGUGUAGCGGUGGAAUGCGUAGAUAUAUGGAAGAACACCAGUGGCGAAGGCGGCUCUCUGGUCUGUAACUGACGCUGAGGUUCGAAAGCGUGGGUAGCAAACA